rnacentral:rRNA from 1 species
UACGUAGGGGGCUAGCGUUGUUCGGAAUCAUUGGGCGUAAAGCGCGUGUAGGCGGUCCGGUAAGUCCGCUGUGAAAGUCGGGGGCUCAACCCUCGAAUGCCGGUGGAUACUGUCGGGCUAGAGUGCGGAAGAGGCGAGUGGAAUUCCUGGUGUAGCGGUGAAAUGCGCAGAUAUCAGGAGGAACACCAAUUGCGAAGGCAGCUCGCUGGGACGUUACUGACGCUGAGACGCGAAAGCGUGGGGAGCAAACAGG